CUGCACGUUUUGCGUGUGGAAGAGGGUGGUAACAGCCAUCUGCGGCGUCACCACCCGUCGCUGAAUGGAGACGCAAGUACCUGAUAAAAAUGAGAUAGUUAGGAUUGUAAAUAUUCUUGCGAUAUUGCUUUAUAAAAACUUGGUAUCUUCGGCAAAGUUGUUGGCAUGGUCAAGAACUGUCCAGUGAUGAACUAAAUCAUUGGCAAAUCCAUCGCUGGGCGGCGCUAGUGUGCAUACAAACUGCAUGCAAAUGUAUUAACGUAUAUUCGUGUAUCUCAAUAACGUGAUAAUUUAAGUAGGUGGUGUCUUCAACAAAUUUGUUGGCUGGGCCACGGGCUAUCCAGUGACGAACGCAAUACAGUCUAGACUUCUAUUACACGGUUAGUUCGGGGGUGCAGUAGGAAUCCGUGUUGUAGGAAUCCCAGAGCUUAUGCGAUUUCGCCUAAUUGGAGGUGUGAGCGAAUAUAUCAGGAGUAUUACAAGAUAGCACCAUACUUUCUUUGGCAAAGUUGUAGUACUAGAAUAGAUUUACCACAUAAUGCGAACUAACAUCCAAUUAGUUGGCAAUUUGGCCGAUAGAGGCGCUAUGUAGAAGUGGUUGAUUAUGUUCACUCGCCAGUAGAAGUACUCUUAAGUUAUCGCUUGCGAUAUCUCAAGAUCUACUUGAUUUGGAACAAUACUGUCUUCGGCAAAGUUGUUCAGUAGGUCAAAAACAAUCUGGUGGUUAACCAAUUAGUUUGUGAUUUCGCCGCUAGGUGGUGCUAGUUGUCAAGUAAAGUUUCAAACUUCUCUAGCUCGCGAUCCAGAUCAGAUAGAGAAGUGCCGUCUUCGUCAGAGUUUUUCAGGAAGUAAAAACCUAUCUGGUGAUUCAACAUUUAGUUGAUGAUUUCGCCGCUAGGUGCCACUAGUUGUUAAGUAAAAUUUCAAACUUAUUUAGCUCGGGAUCCAGAGCAGAUAGAAAAGUAUCGUCUUCGGCUAAGUUCUUCAGGAAGUCACGAACAACCUUGUGAUGUAACAAUUAGUUGGUGAUUUCGCCGCUAGGUGGCACUAGUUGUCAUGUAAAGUUUCAAACUCUGCUAUCUCGGGAUCCAAAGCAGAUCGAAAAGUUUCAUCUUCGGCAAAGUUCUUUUGGAAGUCAAGAGCUAUCUGGUGAUUCAACAGUUAGUUGGUGAUUUCGCCGCUAGGUGGCGCUCUUUGUCAAGUAAAGUAUCGAACUUCUCUAGCUGGCGAUCCAGAGCAGAUAGAAGAGGGUCGUUUACGGCAAAAUUCUUCAGGAAGUCAAGAACAUUCUUGUGAUAUCAACAAUUAGUUGGUGAUUUCGCCACUAGGUGGCACUAGUUGUCAAGUGAAGUUUCAAACUCCGCUAUCUCGGGAUCCAAAGCAGAUCGAAAAGUAUCGUCUUCGGAAAAGUUCUUCAGGAAGUCAUGAGCUAUCUAAUGACUAAACAUUUAGUUUGUAAUUUCGCCGCUAGGUGACGCUAGUUGUCAAGUAAAGUUUCAAACUUCUAUAGCUCGCGAUCCAGAUCAGAUAGAAAAGUGCCGUCUUCGUCAGAGUUUUUCAGGAAGUAAAAACCUAUCUGGUGAUUCAACAUUUAGUUGGUGAUUUCACCGCUAGGUGGUGUUAGUUGUCAAGUAAAAAUUCAAACUUCUCUAGCUCGCGAUUCAGAGCAGAUAGAAAAGUAUCGUCUUCGGCAAAGUUUUAAGGAAUUCAAAACCUCAAUGGUGAUUCAGCAUUCAGUUGAUGAUUUUGCCGCUAGGUGACGCUAGUUUUUAAGUAAAAUUUUAAACUUCUCUAGCUCGCGAUCCAGAGCAGAUAGAAAAGUGUCGUCUUCGGCUAAGUUCUUCAGAAAGUCACGAACAAUCUUGUGAUGUAACAAAUUAAUGAUUUCGCCGCUAGGUGGCACUAGUUGUCAUGUAAUGUUUCAAACUCCGCUAUCUCGGGACCCAAAGCAGAUCGAAAAGUUUCAUCUUCAGCAAAGUGCUUUUGGAAGUCAAGAGCUAUCUGUUGAUUCAAUAUUUAGUUGGUGAUUUUGCUGUUAGGUGGUGAUUUUGCCUCUAGCUCGCGAUCCAGCGCAGAUAGAAAAGUGUCGUCUUCGGCAAAGUUCUUCAGUAAAUCAAGAGCUAUCUAGUGAAUUGAUAAUUAGUUGGUGAUUACGCCGCUAGGUGACGCUAGUUGUCAAGUAAAGCUUCAAACUUCUCUAUCUUGGGAUCUCGAGCAGAUAGAAGAGGUUCGUCUUGGGCAAAGUUCUUCAGGAAGUCAAGAGCAAUCUGGUGAUUCAACAAUUAGUUGCAUGAAUGGUUUGCAUUU